UACGGGGGGAGCAAGCGUUGUUCGGAUUUACUGGGCGUAAAGGGCGCGUAGGCGGCGCGACAAGUCACUUGUGAAAUCUCUGGGCUCAACCCAGAACGGUCAAGUGAUACUGUCGUGCUAGAGUGUGGUAGGGGAGACUGGAAUUCCCGGUGUAGCGGUAGAAAUGCGCAGAUAGUCGGGAAGAACACCCGUGGCGAAGGCGGCUUUCUGGGACGGUACUGACGCUGAGACGCGAAAGCGUGGGGAGCGAACAGG
rnacentral:rRNA from 1 species